CCCCACUCCAGGAAUGGGCAAGAACUGACACAAGGCAGCAACAACCAAAAAUUUCCCAGCUGUUGUGUCUGGCCUUUUGAAAACAGGAAUUUCUUGGUGCAGAGCCUGAAACCUUACUCUUUCCAUUUGACAUUGCUGGAGGGAGGGCACCAGCACUAAAAGGAUGUAUGAGAAAGGAUUUGUUGUCAGCAAGGCCUGUCUGCAUGGAGAUCCACUGCAAUGAACACAUUGUGCUCCAGAGCCCAAUGGAUACAACACCAGGGGAGACAGCUCAUAGCUCUUGGUGGCUAAAUCAAGCUGGCUGCAGUCAGGCUAAAGAAACACGAUGCAGAACAGGAUGAUCUCAGGAGAGCCCACAGGAUAACAAGCUGAGAUUUGUGAUGCUAUGUAGACCUAUUUGGCUGUUGUCCCCAUCUGGUUGUGCUUAGCUUGGUGACAAAAUCGAAGAAACAAGGAGGAUUGACAACAAGAUUGACAGAAGCUGCAUCUCCUGCCUUGUCUCAGAAAGGCUUCUGUGAGAAACUGGGAGAAAACCAAAGUGGGCCAGAAGUGCAGUUUACAACCCGAGCACCCACAAAGUGAUCAGCAGAGUUCUUCCAGCUCAUACAGGUUUGGGCAGCUGGGAAUUCUGCCCCCACACCUCCCUGGGAAAUAAAUGACACACUCAUUUUGUUUAAGGUGUUGCU
rnacentral:lncRNA from 1 species